rnacentral:rRNA from 1 species
CAGCACCUCAAGUGGUCAGGAUGAUUAUUGGGCCUAAAGCAUCCGUAGCCGGCGCUGUAAGUUUUCGGUUAAAUCCAUACGCUCAACGUAUGGGCUGCCGGGAAUACUGCAAAGCUAGGGAGUGGGAGAGGUAGACGGUACUCGGUAGGAAGGGGUAAAAUCCUUUGAUCUAUUGAUGACCACCUGUGGCGAAGGCGGACUACCAGAACACGUCCGACGGUGAGGGAUGAAAGCUGGGGGAGCAAACCGGAUUAGAUACCCGAGUAGUCC